UACGAAGGGGGCGAGCGUUGUUCGGAUUUACUGGGCGUAAAGGGCGCGCAGGCGGCUCAUUUUGUCAGGCGUGAAAGCCCCGGGCUUAACCUGGGAACUGCGUUUGAUACGGAUGGGCUAGAGUUCGGGAGAGGAGAGUGGAAUUCCCAGUGUAGAGGUGAAAUUCGUAGAUAUUGGGAAGAACACCCGUGGCGAAGGCGGCUCUCUGGGACGGUACCGACGCUGAGACGCGAAAGCGUGGGGAGCGAGCAGG
rnacentral:rRNA from 1 species